rnacentral:sRNA from 13 species
AUGAAGCUUCUUUGUUGGCAAAAAUCAAUUCAUGGUUCUUAAAACAAACAUGGAGAGAAGUGUUAGAGGGUUGUAUUAAACAAAACCCUUUACACUCUCCCUCCAUUUUCAAAAACAGUUUGCUUUGUGCUUUAGCUAUUGGCUUCUCAUAUCACAAAGAGAUUAUAUGUUUUUUUCUGAGUAGCAGAAGCAAAUAAUUAAGCAUUUUUCUCCGAAGGAUCAGAAGUUUUUUGGUUAUAGCAUGGCAAACCGGCAAGUCACAAAAAGGCAACGGAUUCCUUUUUGGGAUCUU